rfam:Loxodonta africana unplaced genomic scaffold scaffold_19, whole genome shotgun sequence.
GCAGUGGUGGUUCAGUGGUAGAAUUCUCACCUUCCAUGUGGGAGUCCUGGGUUCAGUUCCCAGUCAAUGCA